AUCAUUUAUCAUCACAAUCCCUGCAGCACCUCCUGCUUGUGCAACCGCAGCCUUCGUUCGAAAAUCACAUUGACCGCGAAGAGCUAGUGCAAUAGACCCUGAUAACUAGACCAAAGUAAACAAAAAUCUCUGCAUUAUGCAAUGUAUAACAAAAGUAAACCUUCUUCAUAUGUCAAAGGAGACAGCCUUCGUCAGAAAAUCACAUUGACCGCGAAGAGCUAGUGCAAUAGAUCCUGAUAACUAGACCAAAGUAAACAAAAAUCUCUGCUUUAUGCAAUGUUUAACAAAAGUAAACCUUUUUCAUAAGAUGACGAAAUGAAAAGCCUCUAAGAUGCUGG
rnacentral:lncRNA from 1 species